rnacentral:rRNA from 1 species
UACGAAGGGGGCUAGCGUUGCUCGGAAUGACUGGGCGUAAAGGGCGCGUAGGCGGCUUUGCGUGUCUUUCGUGAAAUCCCUCGGCUCAACUGAGGACGUGCGGAAGAAACUGCAGGGCUGGAGUCCGGGAGAGGAGGGUGGAAUUCCCAGUGUAGCGGUGAAAUGCGUAGAUAUUGGGAGGAACACCGGUGGCGAAGGCGGCCCUCUGGACCGGUACUGACGCUGAUGCGCGAAAGCGUGGGGAGCAAACGGG